rnacentral:rRNA from 1 species
AGUGAACGCUGGCGGUAGGCCUAACACAUGCAAGUCGAACGGCAGCACAGUAAGAGCUUGCUCUUACGGGUGGCGAGUGGCGGACGGGUGAGGAAUACAUCGGAAUCUACUUUUUCGUGGGGGCUAACGUAGGGAAACUUACGCCAAUACCGCAUACGACCUACGGGUGAAAGCAGGGGAUCUUCGGAUCUUGCGCGAUUGUAUGAGCCGAUGUCGGAUUAGCUAGUUGGCGGGGUAAAGGCCCACCAAGGCGACGAUCCGUAGCUGGUCUGAGAGGAUGAUCAGCCACACUGGAACUGAGACACGGUCCAGACUCCUACGGGAGGCAGCAGUGGGGAAUAUUGGACAAUGGGCGCAAGCCUGAUCCAGCCAUACCGCGUGGGUGAAGAAGGCCUUCGGGUUGUAAAGCCCUUUUGUUGGGAAAGAAAAGCAGCAGGUUAAUACCCCGCUGUUCUGACGGUACCCAAAGAAUAAGCACCGGCUAACUUCGUG